ensembl:snoRNA F54G2.4 ncRNA
GCUCUUGUUGACGCACUUUCAGUGCCUUGCGCACUUGGCGACGCGAAUCCUUUAUUUUGUCAUCACUUCGCUCGGAAAACGAGUUUAGAAAAGGUCGUGCCGUGAGGCUCGACAUUAUUUUU